CUGUGUUAUUACAGAUGUAAAAGUUGUCAAAUAAAGGUGUUAAGAUGUGCAGCUCAACAAACUGACAAACUUUUGAAUUUAGAGGGGUGGUCAUAUUGGCGGUUAAUCAAAUAACCCUCUUAAUGCCUAUAGAAGCCAUACCUAAGACUGCACAGAGUUCUGUAAAAAUGUUUUCUAAGGAAACUUUCCAUAAAUAAAAAUCCUGCUCAUAUGUUUUUUUCAUUAACAAGCUAUCUUAAAAUCUUAAAAGAGCUUCAGUUGACUUGAAAGCUUAAUAAAAGGCAUCUUUACCUCUUUAGUCGCCACCAGGUGAAUCAAUUACACCUCUGUAGUGUUAGUAUGCAUUCUGCUAGGCUAUAGUAUUGGUUUGAGGUUGGUAAGCAUUGUCUCCUUCCCAUGAAACUAACUCACAGUAACUGGGUCCAAUCUUUCAAAAGAUCCAAAUAUAUAUUUUUGUAAUUUAUAUAUAUAAAAAAAAAAAGAAAGAUUAAAAAAACUGAGACAAGCAAUGUGGAAAUGUGGAGACCAAAGUCACUAAGAAGAAUGUUUGUAAGAUACGUUGUGCCAACUCAUCCAAGAGCUGCAGUUAUUCCAGUGUGGUGAACUGACCGACCAACGUAUUAGCACUGCUGUCAUUAGCAUGGCCAAAAAAAAAAGAAAAGCUAGAGCUGUCACUGAGAGCAACCCAAUCAGGUUAUGAAAAUCAACAGGCAGUCUUAGGCACAAAUAUGUUUAUUGGAAACUCCCUAAGCAAGAGUGCAACACAGCUGGUGCAGUAAAGCACAACACACACUUAGACCAGAGUUCUGCUUGCGCUGUGCUAACCGAUGGCAGCUCCGCUGAAGCAUAAAGUAACUGAACUAACUGAGCUCAUUCAGAUGUUUGCUACUGCACAAUCUAAGAUUGUUCAUUUGCAUAAUAUAAGGAACAGUGUAGUAGCUGCUAAAUACAGUUUUUUUUUUUUAUUCUAAUACCCCAAACCUUGAUUUGUGAGUUUCAGUUUCUUUCAUCAGAGUUAGUAUAGACCCCC
ensembl:lncRNA